rnacentral:misc_RNA from 1 species
GAACUGCGAUAAGUAAUGUGAAUUGCAGAAUUCAGUGAAUCAUCGAGUCUUUGAACGCACAUUGCGCCCCCUGGCAUUCCGGGGGGCAUGCCUGUCCGAGCGUCAUUGCUGCCCUUCAAGCCCGGCUUGUGUGUUGGGUCGUCGUCCCCUCCGCGGGACGGGCCCGAAAGGCAGCGGCGGCACCGCGUCCGGUCCUCGAGCGUAUGGGGCUUUGUCACCCGCUCGAUAAGGACCGGCCGGGCGCCAGCCGGCGUCUCCAACCUUUUUUUCUCAGGUUGACCUCGGAUCAGGUAGGGAUACCCGCUGAACUUAAGC